UACAGAGGUCUCAAGCGUUGUUCGGAUUCAUUGGGCGUAAAGGGUGUGUAGGUGGCGCCGUAAGUCGGGUGUGAAAUUUCGGAGCUUAACUCCGAAACUGCAUUCGAUACUGCGGUGCUUGAGGGCUGGAGAGGAGACUGGAAUUCAUGGUGUAGCAGUGAAAUGCGUAGAGAUCAUGAGGAAGACCAGUGGCGAAGGCGGGUCUCUGGGCAUUGGCUGACGCUGAUGCGCGACAGCGUGGGGAGCAAACAGG
rnacentral:rRNA from 1 species